GUGUCCAGCUUCCCAAGCCCCUGUAGUCCUGCCCUGCCAGUGACGGCCUGCAUUUCCUUUCCUUAGCCCUCCGAAGGCCGGUUCUUAGGAGCUCUGCUGGUCCUGAAGUGGGAGCGAGGCUGGAGAAGCACAUAUCGACAGCUGUUCUCCAGAAGCUUUAUCAGAACGUGCCACUGGAGCUGUGCUCGGAGCUACGGCCGGUCACCAGCCUCUUUGUCCAGCUGCAGUUUGCUGACAAGAUCAGCACAGUGGAGCUCAGCAGCAGCCUCAGCGAUAGCAGCAGUAUGAUUUCAGAAAUCAUCAGCCCUCACAAGGGUGAAAUCAACAAAACUCUUCUGUUUGACAAAGGCUGCACCUUCCUCUGUGUGUUUGGAUUUCCUGGAGAAAAGUUGGCCUGUGAGAGCACCCACGCCUUGGAAUGUGCUAUGCAGAUCCUCCGCAUGGCCUCCACGGAGCUGGGAAAACUCCAGUGAGUGCAUGUUAUGGGGUGUGUGUGCUGCCUGGGAUGGCACGAGAGGACU